AGAGUUUGAUCCUGGCUCAGGACGAACGCUGGCGGCGUGCUUAACACAUGCAAGUCGAACGGAAAGGCCCCUUCGGGGGUACUCGAGUGGCGAACGGGUGAGUAACACGUGGGUGAUCUGCCCUGCACUUUGGGAUAAGCCUGGGAAACUGGGUCUAAUACCGAAUAGGACCGCAUGCUUCAUGGUGUGUGGUGGAAAGCUUUUGCGGUGUGGGAUGGGCCCGCGGCCUAUCAGCUUGUUGGUGGGGUAAUGGCCUACCAAGGCGACGACGGGUAGCCGGCCUGAGAGGGUGUCCGGCCACACUGGGACUGAGAUACGGCCCAGACUCCUACGGGAGGCAGCAGUGGGGAAUAUUGCACAAUGGGCGCAAGCCUGAUGCAGCGACGCCGCGUGGGGGAUGACGGCCUUCGGGUUGUAAACCUCUUUCACCAUCGACGAAGGUCCGGGUUUUCUCGGGCUGACGGUAGGUGGAGAAGAAGCACCGGCCAACUACGUGCCAGCAGCCGCGGUAAUACGUAGGGUGCGAGCGUUGUCCGGAAUUACUGGGCGUAAAGAGCUCGUAGGUGGUUUGUCGCGUUGUUCGUGAAAACUCACAGCUUAACUGUGGGCGUGCGGGCGAUACGGGCAGACUAGAGUACUGCAGGGGAGACUGGAAUUCCUGGUGUAGCGGUGGAAUGCGCAGAUAUCAGGAGGAACACCGGUGGCGAAGGCGGGUCUCCGGGCAGUAACUGACGCUGAGGAGCGAAAGCGUGGGGAGCGAACAGGAUUAGAUACCCUGGUAGUCCAA
rnacentral:rRNA from 1 species